rnacentral:rRNA from 1 species
GAGUUUGAUCGUGGCUCAGGACGAACGCUGGCGGCGUGCUUAACACAUGCAAGUCGAACGGUAAGGCUCCAGCUUGCUGGGGUACACGAGCGGCGAACGGGUGAGUAACACGUGGGUGACCUGCCCUGCACUUCGGGAUAAGCCUGGGAAACUGGGUCUAAUACCGGAUAGGACCGCACCGUGAGGGUGUGGUGGAAAGUUUUUUCGGUGUGGGAUGGGCCCGCGGCCUAUCAGCUUGUUGUGGGUAAUGGCCUACCAAGGCGGCGACGGGUAGCCGGCCUGAGAGGGUGGAC